rnacentral:lncRNA from 1 species
UCAUUCCCAACAUGUAUCAAGUACCUGCAUUGAGUAAUGCAAGAGUGAGAUGACACAUCUCAGCAAGUAAAAUAAUAUCAAACUGUUUAACCACAUAAGAACAUUGUUUUACCACCACUUGAUUCCACAACCUUCUUAUUACGAAGGUGCAGCACGUAUACAACGUACAACACACCUAGUCACCACACCUCGCAGGUAGAAACCACAAUAGUAACAUAGUAAUGUCACACUUCAUAUAUACCUCAUGAGUGCAAAUGUCUGCAAAUGCAAGGAUGACUUCUGCCUUCAUACCUCUAAGGAUAUGAAGCCGCAUCGUACCCCUCCUCGGGCAACGUACGAUGCUAAAAAAUCUACCGGUACGGUCGGACCAUAAGAUCACGACAUAACUUCAAAAUGCAAGAUGGAUGAUGCGAUGAGCAUGUCAUGCCUACAACACUUCAUAUUACGUGAUUCAAAAAAAAAUACUUCAACUUCAUCCAAGAUGGGAAUCAACCACAUAUAUCAUUACCAAAUUUUGAUCAUCCACAAUAUUAGACAAUUGAGAAUUAAUACUUCCAAACAAAUAAACUUCAUCAUAGAAUUCAAUGAUUAACAUAAUUGAAACUUAUGCAUACUCAAUGUCAGGGAAUAGGAUGCAACCCAAACGGUAGCAACCACCACUGUAUUUACUUGCCUUUACCGGAAGUUCGGGCAAAUCCCUAAGUACGAUCGGGGAGUCCACCACCUGUUUUUGACACACAACUUAGUGCACCAAUUUCACAUAAUCAGGCUCAUAAACGACGCCGCACCUACGCACAAACUCCAACCCCGCCGCGGGUUACAUCUCUCCCCACACCCACCAAACUGCAGCGGCGCUGCUUAAUAAUUUCAUAACAUUAAAAUUAUGACAGCAGUGGUAACAAACAAAAACUCCAGAGGCAUCUACAUGAAAUUCCCCACAAGUUUUGUAUACAAUUUAUAAUUAAAUUCCAACAUCCAAUUAGCCCAAAACAGUCCACAAGAUGAACCCUGUAAUCUGUUUUUUUUUUGUCUUUUGGACAGCGACAUACCCGGAUUCAAACAGCGAUAUCUUUUAAAAUAUAAUUCCAAAUCAAGCGCAUAAGUACUCAUUGGAAAGAUAAGACAAAGCCCUACAUGAUUAUCAUACUUGUUAAUACUAAUUACCCACGAAAAAUUCCCAGAAACUGCUAAUACUACUGCUGUUCACCCAACUGAAAAAUCUGUUUUUUUGGACAGCAACAUAACCGGAUUCAAACAACGAUAUCUCCUAAAUUAUAACUACAAAUCGAGCGCAUAAGUACUCGUUGGAAAGGUAUGAGAAAGCUCUACAUGAUUCUCCCACUGAUCCCCACUAAUUGCCCACGAAAAAUUCCCAGAAAUCCCUAGAACUACUGCUGUUCGUCCACCCACUAAAUUUCUGGACAGCACCUCUACCAAAUCGCAUAGGUAAACAUGUAACCAAUUGGAUUGCAGCACAAAUACAACAAAAUGAUCACGAAAAUCACCUUGGGUUCCUCCUUUCCUCCUUCUUUUCUUCCUUCUUCCUCCCUCCAAACUCCCAUGGAAGACUCGCACCCACACGACGGACACCAAGCGGGGAGGCUCCACCUUGAUGAGGAAGAGGUGGGGGGGUAGGGUUGAGGGGUGGCGCUGCAAUCACUUGGGGAAGAAGGAGAGGGAUUGGGGCGGCUGCAAGAGUGGAAGAGAG